GACGAACCGUGCGAACGUUGUUCGGAAUCACUGGGCUUAAAGGGCGCGUAGGCGGGUUGCCGCGUCCGGGGUGAAAUCCCACCGCUCAACGGUGGAACGGCCCCGGAUACGGGCGGCCUCGAGGGGGGUAGGGGCGGGCGGAACUAUGCGUGGAGCGGUGAAAUGCGUUGAUAUGCAUAGGAACUCCGGUGGCGAAGGCGGCCCGCUGGACCCCAUCUGACGCUGAGGCGCGAAAGCCAGGGGAGCGAACGGG
rnacentral:rRNA from 2 species